rnacentral:lncRNA from 1 species
AAUGUUUAUUGGGUGAUGGAUGGCACCUGUGCUCCUCAGGCAUUUGUGGUGCUGCAGAUGGGAGGUCCAUGUCUGCGUGGGAGCUCACCCUCAUCACAGCAAGCACAAAGCUCAGCUCAGCCAGACACAGUCCAGUCAAAGCCCCUGCGUGAGCCAGUCUCUAUGUAAAGACAUUCCACCUACAUUCCUCUGCCACCGGCAGAGAGGAGGGGGAGCGCAAUUAUGUGGGCUAACGAGACACAAAGGGCUCCGCGCCACGGCUACGGCUCAGAAACUGGAGCGUGGCAGAAAGAGCAGAAAUAAAUUUCGUCGGCUUCUUACUGCCUCAUCACCAGCAGAGACACACAGGAACAAGAUGAAACAUGGCUCAAAUAAAAUGUAAAUUGAACUUGCGUGCCUCGUCCAGUAAAACACAGUGAGACUUUGGCAACGAGCACUGCAGGGCAACGCAGAGAGCGAGAUGGGGCCACAGGAGGGAUGGACCUGGUGCUGCUCCAGGGCUAGACGAACCCAAGGGGUGGGGGUAUGGCAGCUCAGGCUGUGAGCUUGGGGCCAUCCCUCGUGUUCACGCACACAUCUCUAUUCCCUCAAGUCCUGGUGCUAAUGGGGUUUGGUUUGGGUUGGAGUAGUGCCUUGUUUCAGCUUCACCGAGGAGGUGAGGGCUCCCGCCGAAGCUUUUGUGGUGGCAGUGCUAUUUGUGGAGUGAGCUCUGCUGCAGGUUCUCUGCUCUUUUUAAGGAUUUUCUUUCCAGCUUUUGCCUGAACCAGAGGGUUUGCCUCCGUUCUGACCUCCCCAUGGUUCCAAAAGUCACAGGGAUGGAAUUCCUUGUGGGACAUGAUGGUCCAGCAGGUGCUGAAUGAGGCAGGGAUGGAGCUGUGGUCCACACUGAGCACCCGAGCCAAGCCCAGCAGCACCACCAAUGCAGACAGGACCUGUGCAGAGUUUGUGCUUUCUGGACAGAGGAACUCUGUGUUCUUUGGAAAAAUAUUUCUCCACCAGCACCGUAAUGAGAGGUUUGGAUUGCCUUGCCUUGAAAAUAAACA